GAGUGGCGCACGGGUGCGUAACGCGUGAGCAACCUACCCAUAUCAGGGGGAUAGCCUCUCGAAAGAGAGAUUAACACCGCAUAACAUCAUUUACCGGCAUCGGUUUUUGAUCAAAUAUUUAUAGGAUAUGGAUGGGCUCGCGUGACAUUAGCUAGUUGGAGAGGUAACGGCUCACCAAGGCUACGAUGUCUAGGGGCUCUGAGAGGAGAAUCCCCCACACUGGUACUGAGACACGGACCAGACUCCUACGGGAGGCAGCAGUAAGGAAUAUUGGUCAAUGGAGGCAACUCUGAACCAGCCAUGCCGCGUGCAGGAUGACUGCCCUAUGGGUUGUAAACUGCUUUUGUCAGGGAAUAAACCUUUCUACGUGUAGAAAGCUGAAUGUACCUGAAGAAUAAGGAUCGGCUAACUCCGUGCCAGCAGCCGCGGUAAUACGGAGGAUCCAAGCGUUAUCCGGAUUUAUUGGGUUUAAAGGGUGCGUAGGCGGUCCUAUAAGUCAGUGGUGAAAGACGGCAGCUUAACUGUCGCAGUGCCUUUGAUACUGUAGGACUUGAAUCUAUUUGAAGUGGGCGGAAUAAGACAAGUAGCGGUGAAAUGCAUAGAUAUGUCUUAGAACUCCGAUUGCGAAGGCAGCUCACUAAGUUAGUAUUGACGCUGAUGCACGAAAGCGUGGGGAUCAAACAGGAUUAGAUACCCUGGUAGUCCACGCCCUAAACGAUGAUAACUCGAUGUUUG
rnacentral:rRNA from 1 species